rnacentral:rRNA from 1 species
GACGAACGCUGGCGGCGUGCUUAACACAUGCAAGUCGAACGGAAAGGCCCUGCUUUUGUGGGGUGCUCGAGUGGCGAACGGGUGAGUAACACGUGAGUAACCUGCCCUUGACUUUGGGAUAACUUCAGGAAACUGGGGCUAAUACCGGAUAGGAGCUCCUGCUGCAUGGUGGGGGUUGGAAAGUUUCGGCUGUUGGGGAUGGACUCGCGGCUUAUCAGCUUGUUGGUGGGGUAGUGGCUUACCAAGGCUUUGGCGGGUAGCCGGCCUGGGAGGGUGACCGGCCACAUUGGGACUGAGAUACGGCCCAGACUCCUACGGGAGGCAGCAGGGGGGAAUAUUGCACAAUGGGCGGAAGCCGGAUGCAGCAACGCCGCGUGCGGGAUGACGGCCUUCGGGUUGUAAACCGCUUUCGCCUGUGACGAAGCGUGAGUGACGGUAAUGGGUAAAGAAGCACCGGCUAACUACGUG